rnacentral:rRNA from 1 species
GACGAACGCUGGCGGCGUGCUUAACACAUGCAAGUCGAACGAUGAUGCCCAGCUUGCUGGGCGGAUUAGUGGCGAACGGGUGAGUAACACGUGAGUAACCUGCCCUUGACUUCGGGAUAACUCCGGGAAACCGGGGCUAAUACCGGAUAUGAGCCGUCCUCGCAUGGGGGUGGUUGGAAAGUUUUUCGGUCAGGGAUGGGCUCGCGGCCUAUCAGCUUGUUGGUGGGGUGAUGGCCUACCAAGGCGACGACGGGUAGCCGGCCUGAGAGGGCGACCGGCCACACUGGGACUGAGACACGGCCCAGACUCCUACGGGAGGCAGCAGUGGGGAAUAUUGCACAAUGGGCGAAGGCCUGAUGCAGCGACGCCGCGUGAGGGAUGAAGGCCUUCGGGUUGUAAACCUCUUUCAGCAGGGAAGAAGCGCAAGUGACGGUACCUGCAGAAGAAGCGCCGGCUAACUACGUGCCAGCAGCCGCGGUAAUACGUAGGGCGCAGGCGUUGUCCGGAAUUAUUGGGCGUAAAGAGCUCGUAGGCGGUUUGUCGCGUCUGGUGUGAAAACUCGAGGCUCAACCUCGAGCUUGCAUCGGGUACGGGCAGACUAGAGUGCGGUAGGGGAGACUGGAAUUCCUGGUGUAGCGGUGGAAUGCGCAGAUAUCAGGAGGAACACCGAUGGCGAAGGCAGGUCUCUGGGCCGCAACUGACGCUGAGGAGCGAAAGCAUGGGGAGCGAACAGG